rnacentral:rRNA from 1 species
AAAACGUAACAAGGUUUCCGUAGGUGAACCUGCGGAAGGAUCAUUACCUAGAGUUGUAGGCUUUGCCUACCAUCUCUUACCCAUGUCUUUUGAGUACUUACGUUUCCUCGGUGGGUUCGCCCGCCGAUUGGACAAUUUAAACCAUUUGCAGUUGCAAUCAGCGUCUGAAAAACAUAAUAGUUACAACUUUCAACAACGGAUCUCUUGGUUCUGGCAUCGAUGAAGAACGCAGCGAAAUGCGAUAAGUAGUGUGAAUUGCAGAAUUCAGUGAAUCAUCGAAUCUUUGAACGCACAUUGCGCCCCUUGGUAUUCCAUGGGGCAUGCCUGUUCGAGCGUCAUUUGUACCUUCAAGCUUUGCUUGGUGUUGGGUGUUUGUCUCGCCUUUGCGUGUAGACUCGCCUUAAAACAAUUGGCAGCCGGCGUAUUGAUUUCGGAGCGCAGUACAUCUCGCGCUUUGCACUCAUAACGACGACGUCCAAAAGUACAUUUUUACACUCUUGACCUCGGAUCAGGUAGGGAUACCCGCUGAACUUAAGCAUAUCAAAACCGGGAGGAACAUUUUCCC